AAUUCUAGUAAUUCCUUAGUUACUUCUUGCUGAUAUUGUGAUUGAAUAAGACAAAUUAAGAUUAGAGUUUAUCCCAUUUACCAACAGAUUAAUUGAACAAAAGGUCAUAUCUUCUCUUCUCUUCGUCUACCUUUGGCCCAAAAAAAAUCAAGGGGACUAAAAAAUUUUCUUCAAUUUGAGACUAAAACUAAAGAUUUCUAGCUAGGGAUUUCAUAGGUUUAGAAGAUUCAGCUCAAGGCUAAGUCAUAUGAACGAGACCUUUACAUAAUGCAGUUCCGAAUCUCAGAGAUCACCACAUCAUCAUUAGACAAAUAUAUAGAAUUUUAUUCUAGUAUAUUUAGUUUAUUUAUUAUUUUAUUUUCUUCAGGUUCAUUUUUGUUUGAUUAAUCAUUUAAUAUUCUCAAUAUUAAAUAUAUUUUUAUUCAAAACUGUAUUUUGAACUUGAUUAAUCUAGAACUCUCCAUC